GGGGCCCAAAGGCAGGCAGUUUAGUCAGAGACAGUCCCUGCUCCCACUGUUAGGAGUCCCACAUGAAGACCAAGCUACACAACUGUAACAUAUGUGUAGAGGACCUAGGUCAGUCCUAUGCAGACUCCCUGGUUGGCAGUUCAGUCUCUAUGAGUCCCUAUGGGUUGGCUGAUUCUGCAGAUUUUCUUGUGUCCUUAACUCCUCUGGCUCCUUCAGUCCUUCCCCUCUUCCACAGGAUUCCCCAAGGUCCACCUAAGAACAUGUGUGGGGAGUGUGAUGGCUUGCAUAUCCUUGGUCCAAGGAGUGAUACUAUUAGAGGGUGUGGCCCUGUUGGAGUAGGUGUGGCACUGGGUGUGGGCUUUAAGACCCUCUUCCUAGCUGCCUGGAAGCAGUCUUUGAAAGAUGUAGAACUCUCAGCUCCUCUUGAACCAUGCCUACCUGGAUGUUGCCAUGUUUCUGUAUUGAUGAUAAUGGACUGAACCCCUGAACCUGUAAGCCAGUCCCAAUUAAAUGACCUUAUAAGAGUUGCCUUGGUUAUGGCUUCUGUUCACAGCAGUAAAACCCUAACUAAGGUGGGGCAGGGGGUGGGGAGUGGGUG
rnacentral:lncRNA from 1 species